rnacentral:rRNA from 1 species
GUAGAACGCUGAAGGAGGAGCUUGCUUCUCCGGAUGAGUUGCGAACGGGUGAGUAACGCGUAGGUAACCUGCCUGGUAGCGGGGGAUAACUAUUGGAAACGAUAGCUAAUACCGCAUAAGAGUAGAUGUUGCAUGACAUUUGCUUAAAAGGUGCAAUUGCAUCACUACCAGAUGGACCUGCGUUGUAUUAGCUAGUUGGUGGGGUAACGGCUCCCCAAGGCGACGAUACAUAGCCGACCUGAGAGGGUGAUCGGCCACACUGGGACUGAGACACGGCCCAGACUCCUACGGGAGGCAGCAGUAGGGAAUCUUCGGCAAUGGACGGAAGUCUGACCGAGCAACGCCGCGUGAGUGAAGAAGGUUUUCGGAUCGUAAAGCUCUGUUGUAAGAGAAGAACGAGUGUGGGAGUGGAAAGUUCACACUGUGACGGUAUCUUACCAGAAAGGGACGGCUAACUACGUGCCAGCAGCCGCGGUAAUACGUAGGUCCCGAGCGUUGUCCGGAUUUAUUGGGCGUAAAGCGAGCGCAGGCGGUUAGAUAAGUCUGAAGUUAAAGGCUGUGGCUUAACCAUAGUACGCUUUGGAAACUGUUUAACUUGAGUGCAAGAGGGGAGAGUGGAAUUCCAUGUGUAGCGGUGAAAUGCGUAGAUAUAUGGAGGAACACCGGUGGCGAAAGCGGCUCUCUGGCUU